UACGUAGGGUGCAAGCGUUGUCCGGAAUUAUUGGGCGUAAGGAGCUCGUAGGCGGUCUGUCGCGUCUGCUGUGAAAACUCAGGGCUUAACCCUGAGCUUGCAGUGGGUACGGGCAGACUAGAGUGCGGUAGGGGAGACUGGAAUUCCUGGUGUAGCGGUGAAAUGCGCAGAUAUCAGGAGGAACACCGGUGGCGAAGGCGGGUCUCUGGGCAGUAACUGACGCUGAGGAGCGAAAGCGUGGGGAGCGAACAGG
rnacentral:rRNA from 1 species